CCAUAUCACAUUGAAUCACUGUUUAUCGUCCGAUCACUGAAGUUAAGCAAUUUUGAAUCUGGUCAGUACCUAGAUGGGUGACCGCUUGGGAAUACCAGAUGCUGUA